rnacentral:rRNA from 1 species
CCUACGGGAGGCAGCAGUAGGGAAUCUUCGGCAAUGGACGAAAGUCUGACCGAGCAACGCCACGUGAGUGAAGAAGGUUUUCGGGUCGUAAAACUCUGUUGUUAGAGAAGAACAAGUAGGAGAGUAACUGCUCUUACCUUGACGGUAUCGAACCAGAAAGCCACGGCCAACUACGUGCCAGCAGCCGCGGUAAUACGUAGGUGGCAAGCGUUGUCCGGAUUUAUUGGGCGUAAAGCGAGCGCAGGCGGUCUUUUAAGUCUGAUGAGAAAGCCCUCGGCUCAACCGAGGAAGGUCAUUGGAAACUGGAGGACUUGAGUGCAGAAGAGGAGAGUGGAAUUCCAUGUGUAGCGGUGAAAUGCGUAGAUAUAUGGAGGAACACCAGUGGCGAAGGCGACUCUCUGGUCUGUAACUGACGCUGAGGCGCGAAAGCGUGGGGAGCGAACAGGAUUAGAUACCCUUGUAGUC